AGCGGCGGAGGGAGCUCACACGUGGGUAACCUGCCUCAUAGAGGGGAAUAGCCUUUCGAAAGGAAGAUUAAUACCGCAUAAGAUUGUAAUGUCGCAUGACAUAGUAAUUAAAGGAGCAAUCCGCUAUGAGAUGGACCCGCGUCGCAUUAGCUAGUUGGUGAGGUAACGGCUCACCAAGGCGACGAUGCGUAGCCGACCUGAGAGGGUGAUCGGCCACAUUGGGACUGAGACACGGCCCAGACUCCUACGGGAGGCAGCAGUGGGGAAUAUUGCACAAUGGGGGAAACCCUGAUGCAGCAACGCCGCGUGAGUGAUGACGGCCUUCGGGUUGUAAAGCUCUGUCUUUAGGGACGAUAAUGACGGUACCUAAGGAGGAAGCCACGGCUAACUACGUGCCAGCAGCCGCGGUAAUACGUAGGUGGCAAGCGUUGUCCGGAUUUACUGGGCGUAAAGGGAGCGUAGGUGGAUAUUUAAGUGGGAUGUGAAAUACCCGGGCUUAACCUGGGUGCUGCAUUCCAAACUGGAUAUCUAGAGUGCAGGAGAGGAAAGGAGAAUUCCUAGUGUAGCGGUGAAAUGCGUAGAGAUGAGGAAGAAUACCAGUGGCGAAGGCGCCUUUCUGGACUGUAACUGACACUGAGGCUCGAAAGCGUGGGGAGCAAACAUGAUUAGAUACCUGGUUGUCCCCGCCGUUAACGAUCAAUACC
rnacentral:rRNA from 1 species